CAAAAAGAGGAGCUUCUGGGAUGAUAAAAUGAGGCAUAUCCUGCACCACUACAUGUGUCCAUACAUGAUCUGAGCAGGAAGAGCAGUGGACAAGGAGUCUGGAAUGCUGGCUCAAGUUCUGAGUCAGCCACAGCCUGCUGUGUGACUCUGAGUGAGUCACUAAGCUUCCCUGGAUUCAGUUUCCUCAACAGUCAAAUUUCUAUGGCCUUUUGGGCACCACCAUGCAUGAGAACACAAAGAGAGCAUGAUUACUCAGGGGUGUGUGCAUGUGUGAGAUUAACAAUGGUACCAGCACGUGCAGAAAAGAAAGAGUCUCCGCUUGUCUUUGUCUGAUUCUCCUGUCCUCUCCAUGGAAGUUACAUUUUCUGUAAAGGAUGAGCUGAAAAUUCUCCUGGUCGUUGCCAGUUGAACUUCUGCUGUGCUCUGGGAAGGCAUUCUCACUCUGUUUAUGUUGUCUAAGUGCAGACAUGGAUGUGCAGGUUUGCUAGAACCUCCUGAGGAUGUGCAAUGGUUCUGUUCAUGCCUGAAUCAGUUCUUUUGGGAGUGGACAUUCUUUCUCUCCCUCAUGCACAGCCUCAGGCACAUGGCUUGAGCUAUGGCGGCACGCAGUAUGGCCAUCACCCAGGCCCAUCAAUGAGAGAGACAACAUUUAGAUAGGAGUACUGGACAUUUGAAAAUUCUUACACCCUGUGAUGUGACAUGGAGAAGUGACCAACACAACUUUGCCAACUAUACUCCAUUCUUAGUAACUGCCGAUUAGGAAGGAUUUCUUUCUAAGUCUGUCACUAAUUCAACUGUUAUUCACAAGAGAAGUAGAGGCAAAUGAUAGCAGCUUGAUCGUUGAUUUUUGAUUUAGAUGAUCAAUGAUGUUCAGAAUAGUGUUUGUAUGUGUGAGCAUGGAUGUGUAUGUCGUGUGUGUGUCUGUGUAUGUGGUGUGUGUGUCUGUGUAUAUUGUGUGUGUGUGUGUGCAUGCGUGUGUGCAGGGUAGGUAUCACCACAUUCCCUGUGGUGGUGUGUCUCUUCUCUGGGAUUGGUUCUUCUAGAAUCUCCCACCUUUUAGAACCACUUUAAGAUAUUUAUUUAUUCUCUCCAACCAUCCUGGCAAUCUUUUUAUCCUUAAACAGGAAUAAAUUCCUACAGCUGAAUCUAUUCAGGAUUUCUGUGUGUAUGUGUGAAAAUUUAUAUGAUGCUCAAUCCUUUAAAAAUCUUUUAUUCAAGUAACUUUAAAAGUAAAACACAAGGUGUUUUAUCAUAAAAAGUGAGAGAUGUUAGUCCACUUAAUUUCUUGCUUGCUUUCUUUUGUGUCCCUAGAUUACUUAGCCUCUGUUUCCAGCCAGCAGUGGAAACAGCAAGGGUGAGGGUCUUAGGAGUCGACAUGUAACACCUAUUACUUCCCUUUGAAGUUCAGAACCAAUUUAGAGUUAAGAGCCAAGAGACACACAAAUAGAGAUCUUAUUUCAGCUUUAUUACUGAUAAAACCAUCUGGAGAAUGUGUUUUUAAAUUUGUGUGCAAAUGGCUUGCUCAGACACCCUGAUUGGAUUAGUUGGAUUCAUA
rnacentral:lncRNA from 1 species